rnacentral:rRNA from 1 species
UACGGAGGGUGCAAGCGUUAUCCGGAUUUAUUGGGUUUAAAGGGUACGUAGGCGGUGAGGUCAGUCAGUGGUGAAAGCCAGCAGCUUAACUGUUGAACUGCCAUUGAUACUGCCUCACUAGAGUUCAGUCGAGGUGGGUGGAAUUCCACAUGUAGUGGUGAAAUGCAUAGAUAUGUGGAGGAACACCGAUAACGAAGGUAACUCACUAGGCUGAUACUGACGCUGAGGUACGAAAGCGUGGGGAGCGAACGGG